CGGAUCGACUCUAGGACGAGCGUCUCGGGCAAUUGAUACAAAGGCAACAGAACGCAUCUAACAAUAAGAUUGGGCGAAAGGGAUUCAAACGGAGCGGAUCGGCUCUAGGACGAGCGUUUUGGUCAUUUGGUAAGUAAAAUCCAUAUUAAUCCAAUCAUUUACUGCUCAUCGCUCAAGCAUCGCGUCGUGAAUAACAGAUAAACUGCAUAUUUUGGUUGAUCAAUACAAUUACAGGACGAUUCGCGCACGGUUUGCAGGUACAAACGCAACGGAACGCACCUGAGAUGGCGAAGGGAAUUCGGACAAAGCGGAUCGACUCUAGGACGAGCGUCUCGGGCAAUUGGUAAAUAAAAUCGAUAUUAAUUCUACCAUUUACUGCUCAUCACUCAACUAUCGCGUCGUGAAUAAUACUCUUUAAAGUUUUUGGAGUCAAUGUAAAACCGAGGAGUAAAAUAUUUGCUCUAUUGGAGUGAAUAUUCAUUCUAACGGAGUAAAUAUUUGUUCCGAUAAAGUGAAUAUUUCACUCCAUGGUUCUAUUUUCACUCCAAAACUUUCGAGAGUAGAUAAACUGCAUAUUUUCGUUGAUCAUCAAUACAAUUACACGACGGUUUUCAGAUACAAAGGCAACAGAACGCAUCUAACAAUAAGAUUGGGCGAAAGGGAUUCAAACGGAGCGGAUCGGCUCUAGGACGAGCGUUUUGGUCAUUUGGUAAGUAAAAUCCAUAUUAAUCCAAUCAUUUACUGCUCAUCGCUCAAGUAUCGCGUUGUGAAUAACAGAUAAACUGCAUAUUUUGAUUGAUCAAUACAAUUACAGGAUGAUUGGCGCACGGUUUGCAGGUACAAACGCAACGGAACGCACUUGAGAUGGCGAAGGGAAUUCAGAUUAAGCGGAUCGAUUGUAGGACGAGCUUCUCGGUUCAACUGAUGCUCGGAUUCCGAUGUUCGCGUCGCGUACGGGAGUGUUACGUGAAGUUUCGUGCGAUCGUAAUUAAUCAGUUUCGCGAGUGUUGUACGAGUGCAAUAAGGACACCUGAGAGGAGGAGGAGGCUUGGGAGGCAUCGGGCAACGGCGGAGCAAC